rnacentral:misc_RNA from 1 species
GAUGAAGAACGUAGCGAAAUGCGAUAAGUAAUGUGAAUUGCAGAAUUCAGUGAAUCAUCGAAUCUUUGAACGCACCUUGCGCUCCUUGGUAUUCCGAGGAGCAUGCCUGUUUGAGUGUCAAGAAAUUCUCAACCUUUUCAGCUUUCUUUGUUGAUCAGGCUUGGAUGUGGGAGUAUGCGGGCUUCUCAGAAGUCGGCUCUCCUGAAAUGCAUUAGCGGGACCUUUGUUGCCUGGCUUUGGUGUGAUAAUUAUCUACGCCAUUGUAGUCAAGCAGCUUAAAAUGAGGUUUCAGCUUCUAACCGUCUCCCCUGAGACAACUUUUUGACAAUUUGACCUCAAAUCAGGUAGGACUACCCGCUGAACUUAAGCAUAUCAAUAAGCGGAGGA